AAAAGAAAACACAAACACACAACAAACAUAAAACAUGAAGAAGAUAAGAAAUAACAUCAAUUUUCGUCAUCCCAUCUAGAUCCCUGUCCCCUCAUGGUCUUCUUCAUCUUCUUUAGUUUCUCAGCAUGCUUAGUCUCCAUGUUUGUAACUUCCACCGCCUGUGACCAUUUCAGGUCACUAAUUUCGUUUGAAAGCUUGCUAAUCACCUCGGCAGCACGGCUUUCAUGACGGUCCUCUAGCCAAAAUAUGUAGCCGCAACCAUUGGGUCCGUCAGGACAUUGCAUCAUCCGCCUCCCAGCGUCGGGACCGUUGUCUCGCCAAACUCUACUAACUACGACUUUGUCACAAUAGCACUUCUCUAAAGCAACAGGCUCCAUAAGUUUUAAAAUUUUUUUUAGUUGUGGAUACAAGUGAGGUGUGGAGCCAGUUAUUUAUAGAUGAAAAUAAUGAACAUCGUGACAACAACUUUAAUGUAGCCAUACAUAACUUAUUAAACUAAAUAGGGAAAACAACAAUAAUUGCACAUUGGUGAAUCUAGCAUUUCCUGCUUGAAGAACCCUCCCCCUUAUUUUUUCCCUUGAGGCGUUCAAAUUCUUCGUCAUGCUUCUCUCUAAUCUUUUCCUUUGUAAAAUAAUGCUCCCAUAUAAGAUCACUCAUCUCCUUAGUCAUCUCAGUUAGCACAGCCGCUGAACGUGGUUCAAGUGGAUCAUCAAUCCAAAACAUAUAACCGCACCCGUCCGGCCAGAAUGGACACCGUGACAUCUUUCUUCCAGCGUUUGGCCCAGUCCCUGGAUAUGUACUAUGAACAGCAAGCUUUUCACAGUAGCAUGUAUCCCCUUCAAUAACCGCAUUUACUCUCUCCAUGUAAUUAAGUUUUUGUUUUGAGAUGUAUAAACGAGCUUUCCACUAUUUAUAACCAAU
rnacentral:lncRNA from 1 species